rnacentral:rRNA from 1 species
UACGUAGGGGGCAAGCGUUGUCCGGAAUCAUUGGGCGUAAAGCGCGUGUAGGCGGCUGGGUAAGUCCGCUCUGAAAGCCCGGGGCUCAACCCCGGGAGGCGGGUGGAUACUGCUCAGCUCGAGUCCGGAAGAGGAGUGUGGAAUUCCUGGUGUAGCGGUGAAAUGCGCAGAUAUCAGGAGGAACACCAAUGGCGAAGGCAGCACUCUGGGACGGUACUGACGCUGAGGAGCGAAAGCCAGGGGAGCAAACGGG